GUUAAUUCUUGAAGAAUGAGUUCGACCAAGCUUAAGAAAGUAACAAACAAAAAUGUUGACCGUUUUACUCUGGAAGGACUAGAAAAAAAAGCGAAGGUUGUAUCAAUUUAUGAUGGAGACACUUGCGACUUAGCGUUCUAUCGCAAAGGAGAGCUGGUGAGGUUCAGAUGACGUUUAGAGGACGUCUACGCACCGGAGCUUCGCGAAGAAAAUGGAAAGCUUGUGCGUGACUUCUUGGCCCAUUUGUGUAUGGGAGAAGACCCUGAUGAAUUUGACUAUGAUACCACAAUAUGGGAUAGAAAGGAUCUCCAAGAUGAGUUGAACAAAAACAAGUAUUUGGUACUGUAUGCUGUGUUUGGCAAAUUCGACAAAUAUGGCAGGGCUUUGGUUAUACUCUUAAGACCUCUCGAGCUCCUAGAGCCGAAUCAAUCAA